GAUGAACGCUGGCGGCGUGCCUAAUACAUGCAAGUCGAGCGAACGGACGAGGAGCUUGCUCCUCUGACGUUAGCGGCGGACGGGUGAGUAACACGUGGAUAACCUACCUAUAAGACUGGGAUAACUUCGGGAAACCGGAGCUAAUACCGGAUAAUAUUUUGAACCGCAUGGUUCAAUAGUGAAAGACGGCUUUGCUGUCACUUAUAGAUGGAUCUGCGCCGUAUUAGCUAGUUGGUAAGGUAACGGCUUACCAAGGCAACGAUACGUAGCCGACCUGAGAGGGUGAUCGGCCACACUGGAACUGAGACACGGUCCAGACUCCUACGGGAGGCAGCAGUAGGGAAUCUUCCGCAAUGGGCGAAAGCCUGACGGAGCAACGCCGCGUGAGUGAUGAAGGUCUUCGGAUCGUAAAACUCUGUUAUUAGGGAAGAACAAACGUGUAAGUAACUGUGCACGUCUUGACGGUACCUAAUCAGAAAGCCACGGCUAACUACGUG
rnacentral:rRNA from 1 species